rnacentral:lncRNA from 1 species
GGACGGACGGCGCCAGGGAGCAGUGCCCACGCGCGGCAGGGCGGUACCUUCAGGCCUCCAGGACUGGCUCUCCUGACCUCUCCAGGUGUCAUCGAACACCCUUGUGCUUGCUGUCACCCGCUGCCUGUCUGCAGGAUCCCGGAUUCCGUAUCAGGGGACCGAAAUUAGUCGGAAAAUAGGAAGCAGGUGCUCGCUUGGAUGGAACCCUGACCCUGUGCUCACACUUGUAGGAGGAGGGCUCUGCAGGCCGCCUCCCGGAACGGGAGGUUCCCAAGCCACUGCACUUCGGAGGGGCUGUAAUUAGAGUUGCACAUUCAUUCAGUUCCCAGUAAAGUAGAACGUGCUCCAGCCAGUGAGGAAAAGGUGUUUUUAAAAAUUAGAUUGGCCGAGUGCGGUGGCUCAUGCCUUUUACCUCAACACUUUGGGAGACAAAGGUGGGAGGAUCACCUGUGGCCAGGAGUUCAAGACCAGCCUGGGCAACAGAGCCUGUCUCUGGGGAAGAAUAAAAAAAAAAAUUGAGCCUUUGUCAGUGCUACUAUUUUAUUAUCUGGUAAAUAUGAGAGGGUUCACGCGGUCUAUGUGUGUCAUUUAUCUGAGUUUGCCUAUCGUCACGUUUUGGAAAUAAA